rnacentral:rRNA from 1 species
GGGGAAUUUUGGACAAUGGGCGCAAGCCUGAUCCAGCCAUGCCGCGUGUCUGAAGAAGGCCUUCGGGUUGUAAAGGACUUUUGUCAGGGAAGAAAAGGCUGUUGCCAAUAUCGACAGCUGAUGACGGUACCUGAAGAAUAAGCACCGGCUAACUACGUGCCAGCAGCCGCGGUAAUACGUAGGGUGCGAGCGUUAAUCGGAAUUACUGGGCGUAAAGCGAGCGCAGACGGUUACUUAAGCAGGAUGUGAAAUCCCCGGGCUCAACCUGGGAACUGCGUUCUGAACUGGGUAACUAGAGUGUGUCAGAGGAAGGUAGAAUUCCACGUGUAGCAGUGAAAUGCGUAGAGAUGUGGAGGAAUACCGAUGGCGAAGGCAGCCUCCUGGGAUAACACUGACGUUCAUGCUCGAAAGCGUGGGUAGCAAACAGGAUUAGAUACCCUGGUAGUCCACGCCCUAAACGAUGUCAAUUAGCUGUUGGGCAACUUGAUUGCUUAGUAGCGUAGCUAACGCGUGAAAUUGACCGCCUGGGGAGUACGGUCGCAAGAUUA